AUAACUACCACUCUUCAACUCUCCGGCGGUUUCCACAAUUCUCUUCACUCUCUGAUUUUUCUCCAACAAAUGCAAAUCUUGAUAAAUACGCAGACAUAUAUUCUUCCUCCCUUCAAGCCCCAAAUUCUCAUACCAAGCAGUGAGUUCAAGUUUUCAUCCGCCAUUGUUUUCCAGCAAAGCCAAAUUCUUCUUUACCAAAAGUGUGAACGAGAAACCAAGAGUGUGUGAUAUUUCAAUACCUUCUCUUCUGCAAAUUUUGCUACUUCCGGAAGAUUGAGCGGCGAUGGACGUGGAGGAUGUUGAGCAGAGUUGUUGGAAAAUUAUAUCUUGUUUGGUUGUUGGAUUUGUCGAGUCUUCAUACUGGGCAUUUUUCCAUGUCUUGACGCUUCCGCUAAAAUUCUAAAUUUCCUUUGGACUGUUUUAUCAUUGGGUCUUAUUAUUCGAAGUUAGUUUUGUGGAGACAGUAUUCGAGUUUGUUUUAAGUUUCUUAGUUAAUCUUUUGUUUUGGUCGUGUAUA